rnacentral:rRNA from 1 species
GACGAACGCUGGCGGCGUGCUUAACACAUGCAAGUCGAGCGGAAAGGCCACUUCGGUGGUACUCGAGCGGCGAACGGGUGAGUAACACGUGAGUAAUCUGCCCCUGGCUUCGGGAUAGCCACCGGAAACGGUGAUUAAUACCGGAUAUGACCACGUCUCGCAUGGGGUGUGGUGGAAAGUUUUUCGGCCAGGGAUGUGCUCGCGGCCUAUCAGCUUGAUGGUGAGGUAAUGGCUCACCAUGGCUUCGACGGGUAGCCGGCCUGAGGGGGUGACCGGUCACACUGGGACUGAGACACGGCCCAGACUCCUACGGGAGGCAGCAGUGGGGAAUAUUGGACAAUGGGCGGAAGCCUGAUCCAGCAACGCCGCGUGAGGGAUGACGGCCUUCGGGUUGUAAACCUCUUUCAGUACCGACGAAGCGCAAGUGACGGUAGGUACAGAAGAAGCACCGGCCAACUACGUGCCAGCCGCCGCGGUAAUAC